rnacentral:rRNA from 1 species
CGUCCUACGGGACGCAGCAGUGGGGAAUUUUGGACAAUGGGCGCAAGCCUGAUCCAGCUAUUCCGCGUGUGGGAUGAAGGCCCUCGGGUUGUAAACCACUUUUGUAGAGAACGAAAAGACACCUUUUAAUAAAGGGUGUUGCUGACGGUACUCUAAGAAUAAGCACCGGCUAACUACGUGCCAGCAGCCGCGGUAAUACGUAGGGUGCGAGCGUUAAUCGGAAUUACUGGGCGUAAGGGUGCGCAGGCGGUUGGGGAAGACAGAUGUGAAAUCCCCGAGCUUAACUCGGGAAUGGCAUAUGAUAC